GAUGAACGCUGGCGGCGUGCCUAAUACAUGCAAGUCGAGCGAACAGACGAGGAGCUUGCUCCUCUGACGUUAGCGGCGGACGGGUGAGUAACACGUGGAUAACCUACCUAUAAGACUGGGAUAACUUCGGGAAACCGGAGCUAAUACCGGAUAAUAUAUUGAACCGCAUGGUUCAAUAGUGAAAGACGGUUUUGCUGUCACUUAUAGAUGGAUCCGCGCCGCAUUAGCUAGUUGGUAAGGUAACGGCUUACCAAGGCAACGAUGCGUAGCCGACCUGAGAGAGUGAUCGGCCACACUGGAACUGAGACACGGUCCAGACUCCUACGGGAGGCAGCAGUAGGGAAUCUUCCGCAAUGGGCGAAAGCCUGACGGAGCAACGCCGCGUAAGUGAUGAAGGUCUUCGGAUCGUAAAACUCUGUUAUUAGGGAAGAACAAAUGUGUAAGUAACUAUGCACGUCUUGACGGUACCUAAUCAGAAAGCCACGGCUAACUACGUG
rnacentral:rRNA from 1 species